UAGGCAGAAAUAAGCAUGUUGGUGGCGGUUAACUACUCGUGCGGGGUCACAAGGCAAUAAGGCAAUCCUACCACCAGUAAAAAACCAAUUGACAUCAUCGUACAAUUUUUUUUUACACAAACGUUAUUUUAUUCUAAAUUUUAUGUGAAAUAAAUUACAAACUUAACAUUGUACGUUUGCCUUACAAUCGCAUAAGGUCAAUGUCCAUUCUGCAACAUUGUUGCUCUUUGACGACAUUGUCAUGUGAUAACAAUCAAUAUUAAACUUAUCAAUCGUUCAAGGAUGAUCUUCGGUAUCGCGAUUAUUAUUUUUUUAUAGAAAGCACGUACUACAUUCGACGUGAUUAAUUGUAUUUAUAUCGAUUUAAAGUUAAAAACGUUUGAAUAUUUUUCAAUUGGUUUUUGUUUUUUUUUGUCCAUUGAAACUCUGUGGUAAUUCGCAUUAUUGCUCCCUCAAUCGAGGUAAAAUCACUUUUACACAUGAGGUGUGAGGUUUAAAUUUUUUUAUGGAGCAUCGACAUCCAUCAGUGCUGUCUUCGAUUUCAGGAACCACUUGUAUGAAAUAGAAUAUGCAGUUUUUUUUUUUAAUAUUUUAGUUUUCGCUACUGUUUACUAUUUCCAUGACAUGUUUUUAAUUCGAAACUGCCCCCCCCCCCUUUGGCAGUCGGCUAAAAAAAUUGUAGUCUCCAGAUAUCAAUUAUUAGAGCAACACGAAAUUCACAGUUGAUAAUAAAGAUUUUCCGAUAUUUAUUUCAAUAUUUAAUUUUAUCGUAAGGGUAUAUAUUAUUGCUAUGUAUUUAAAUAUUAGUUAGAAAAGAACCCACCUUUUUACUAUAACAACUAACCAUAAAAUUGCUUGUCAAUUACGGGUGGGUCAUGGUACUUUAGAUCAUUUCAAAAAUAUCUAAAAAAAUGUGCAGUUUCAUUUUAUCAUGAGCGAAUUACAAAAUAAAUUCGGUUUUAAAUAAAAUUAACAGAAGAACUAUUUGAACUGUGGUAAUUUGGAAAACGGAUAUAAUUAAAAACAAGCCCGUAAGAAACAUCUACGACCCUACUUAAUUAACUAAGUAACAUCUAUUUCUUUCGAGGGAAUGAUAAAAUAUUGUCCAACUCUUCGAACUUUGAACACCUAUAAUAUCAAGAACUGAGAUGCUCAAAUUAAACCUAAGCCCUAUACCACAGAUUCAUCCACGAUACUUUGCCGUCUAGGAACAACCUUUAUAGACGAAAAAUCCCACGUGUUUUCGGAAAUAUCUCGUUAUGUUUUUUUUUUUGUAAUAAAGAACAAAGUAUAAUUUGAAUUCAGAAACCUCAGUGUGCGACAGGAACAGCAGCAUCAUCGCAAGAGUUGGAGAAGGACAACAAUCUUCUAUGCGCAUUCCGAAAUUUAAUUUAGAAAUUAUCUGUACAUCUCUCCAUUUAUACUGUUAUAAUCAGAUAGUAUUGAGCCUAAUUGUCAUUUUACUAGAAACUAUUACUAACCAUGAAUGCGUAUCUAAUAACUUUCGUGCUGAUCUCAUUUGUGAUUUUAAUUUACUUCGUCUUAAAAUUCAAGAUCAAUUUGAUGCCAGUUUAUUGAAGAGAAUUAAAUAACACACAUUGGCGUGUUGCGAAAAAUCAAUAAUAGGAAUGUUCAGGAUGUCAAAACUGUAACCAGAUUGCAUUUGUAUUCAAUAAAUUUACCCCGAAACAUUACUUUGGACGCAUUAGUACUGAAACAUUAUUCUAAACUUAAUGAAAAGUCAGAUAAUACAACACAAAAAUUUGAUGAAACAUAGCAUCAUUACCUUUAUUCUCUUUUAUGAAAGAGCAUCUGAACUUAGUGCAAAUUUUCGAACUAUUCUAUGAUUCCGAUGUACUUUUACAGACCAGAGGUCGGUGUAUUUGAUAAAUAUAUUAUCCUGUUAAAAAUUUAUCUUAGAAAGUUUUAGAGGAACUAUCUGAACACAAAACAAGGGCAACAAUCAGUGAGUAUCUUCUAAUUAGAACAUUCAUAGAAUCAGAUAUUCAAAAUGUAUGUAAGCUAAUCUACUUCUUUCAUGAUACUUUUUUACCUAACAACAGACACAAUUUAACAGCCAAUUCUAUUUGGAAGACUAUUUUUUUUAAUUUGAUAUUUAGCGUGGAUUUAUAGCAGAGCAAUCUAAUUGUAAUUCACAAACCUAGAUGUACAAAUUGGACGUCAACAUUAAAGUUGGAAAAGGACAGACUGCCCCAGUGGAAAAGUACAGAGUGCCCCAGUAUUAUGCAAUCUUGUCUAGACAUUACCUUAACUCGGAUCUUGUACAAAUGACCUAAUUAUUUUGAACUGAUUUGACCUUUUAUAUAAACAAUAUCAUGUACGCAUAUCUAAUAACUUUCAUAUUGGUUCUACUUGUAAUUUUAAUUUAUAUUGUUUUAAAAUGUAAGAUAAAAUUUAUGUUGAGUUGAUUAAAUCUUUAUAUAUAUACUUUAUGUUAUGAAUUAUGAUGAAUUAAAAAUUUACAGCAUAUCACAA